CCUGCUUCUGACAAUGAACGGCAAGCACUGACGCCUGGAGAGAUGGAGGCCCCACAUAGUGCGGUGGGCUUCCUGAGAGCUGGGGCUGCUCUGACACCCGGAGGUAUUUGCAAAGAAGCUGCAUCUGUCAUUUCGUUUGGUCUUUACAACAACCCUGGUGGGUGGAAGUGAACGGCGUGGUGACCAGUAAGAGAUGGCAGAGCACCCAGGGACAAGGAGGAGCAGAAAGACUUUACCACCCCUAGUCUCCAGCUGGUGCCUUCCAUUGGCUGAGUGUAACUAGAAGCCAGAGGGAAAAAGAGAUUGGUGAUGCAGUUCACAGAG